UAGUGGCUCUCCACUCUACCCAUGCCUAGCAUGAUCUUAUAUUCAGUCGUGAUGAAGGGUCUCGGCCUGUAAUGUCGACUCUCCAUAAUUCUUCUCCGUAAAUGCUUCCUAGAGAUGCUGCCUGGCCUACUGCGUUCACCAGUAACUUUGAUGUGUGUUGCCUGAGAUUCAGAAACAGUUCUUCAAAGUUUAAAAGUUCAAACUUUACCUGAUCCUGAGCACUGGCCCCUCCGUGCUGGACAGUGAUGCAACCACCAAAGGAGCGAAGGAAGAUGAGAGGCAACUUGUACAAGAGAUUAAGAGGCAUAGAUCAAAUAUUUGCUGUAAACCGGAUGACCAUCUCCACAAAUCAAAUCUUUCUUUUGCAUUACCACUGAACUCUAAUUACUACUUUAGUUGACAUCUGGUCAACAUGGUACCCUGCUGCAAUGUUCAUGGAGGAUGUGGCUCAGAUUUAGCUGUAUUUUUUUGGUUCAUAGGGAUGGUUUUGGUGGCAGUACAAGGAGUCGGGGACAGGGAUAAGGAGUUGGGAACAGGGAUAAGGAGUUAGAGGUCAGAGAGGAAAGGAGCCAGAGCUCAAGUCAGAGUGCUUCACCGUCCAAGGCCAAUGAUCCCCGUGGUCAUUAACUGAGGUCAGUGGGUCCCAUGGACGAGGGCUGGUGCCGCCCACCCCCCGGGUUGGCAAGUUUCCCUAGGUCGGUGAGACUCGGAAUCAGAGAUCAUCUGAGUGGAAGGCACAAAGCCCAGUGAACCCCCAGGUCAGUGAGUUCAGGAGUCAGAGAUCUGUGUGUGUCUAGAGUUCAGAGUUCCAUGAUUGGCAGGUCCUGUGGAAAAGACUGAAGCUCAAGGACAGAAGUUGGCAAGGUUGGAAGUUGGGGUACAAUGGUUGAAGUGGAAGUCAGAAGCUCGAUGUCCAAGAGGCCUGACCAGAUACUGGAGGUUGGAGACCUGGCAACGGUCUGUCUUAGAGUUGAAGGGGAGAGUGAGAGAGCGUGUGAAUGUGUGUGU